UGAUACUGCGAGACUAGAGUAAUGGAGGGGGAACCGGAAUUCUCGGUGUAGCAGUGAAAUGCGUAGAUAUCGAGAGGAACACUCGUGGCGAAGGCGGGUUCCUGGACAUUAACUGACGCUGAGGCACGAAGGCCAGGGGAGCGAAAGGGAUUAGAUACCCCUGUAGUCCUGGCAGUAAACGGUGCACGCUUGGUGUGCGGGGAAUCGACCCCCUGCGUGCCGGAGCUAACGCGUUAAGCGUGCCGCCUGGGGAGUACGGUCGCAAGAUUAAAACUCAAAGAAAUUGACGGGGACCCGCACAAGCGGUGGAGUAUGUGGCUUAAUUCGAUGCAACGCGAAGAACCUUACCUGGGCUUGACAUGUAAUGAACAACAUGUGAAAGCAUGCGACUCUUCGGAGGCGUUACACAGGUGCUGCAUGGCCGUCGUCAGCUCGUGUCGUGAGAUGUUUGGUUAAGUCCAGCAACGAGCGCAACCCCUGUUGCCAGUUACCAGCACGUAAAGGUGGGGACUCUGGCGAGACUGCCCAGAUCAACUGGGAGGAAGGUGGGGACGACGUCAGGUCAGUAUGGCCCUUAUGCCCAGGGCUGCACACGUACUACAAUGCCCAGUACAGAGGGGGCCGAAGCCGCGAGGCGGAGGAAAUCCUAAAAACUGGGCCCAGUUCGGACUGUAGGCUGCAACCCGCCUACACGAAGCCGGAAUCGCUAGUAAUGGCGCAUCAGCUACGGCGCCGUGAAUACGUUCCCGGGUCUUGUACACACCGCCCGUCACAUCAUGGAAGCCGGUCGCACCCGAAGUAUCUGAAGCCAACCGCAAGGAGGCAGGGUCCUAAGGUGAGACUGGUAACUGGGAUGAAGUCGUAACAAGGUAGCCGUAGGGGAACCUGCGGCUG
rnacentral:rRNA from 1 species